rnacentral:rRNA from 1 species
GCAUAUCAAUAAGCGGAGGAAAAGAAACCAACAGGGAUUACCUCAGUAACGGCGAGUGAAGCGGUAACAGCUCAAAUUUGAAAUCUGGCCUCACGGUCCGAGUUGUAAUUUGUAGAGGAUGCUUCGAGCAUGGUCUGGCCUAAGUUCCUUGGAACAGGACGUCAUAGAGGGUGAGAAUCCCGUAUGCGGCCAGGUGCCUACGCUCAUGUGAAGCUCCUUCGACGAGUCGAGUUGUUUGGGAAUGCAGCUCAAAAUGGGUGGUAAAUUUCAUCUAAAGCUAAAUAUUGGCCAGAGACCGAUAGCGCACAAGUAGAGUGAUCGAAAGAUGAAAAGCACUUUGGAAAGAGAGUUAAACAGUACGUGAAAUUGUUGAAAGGGAAGCGCUUGCAACCAGACUUGCGCGCGGCCGAUCAUCCGGUGUUCUCACCGGUGCACUCGGCCGUGCUCAGGCCAGCAUCGGUUUUGGCGGCUGGAUAAAGGCCCUAGGAAUGUAGCUCCUCUCGGGGAGUGUUAUAGCCUAGGGUGCAAUGCAGCCUGCCGGGACCGAGGACCGCGCUUCGGCUAGGAUGCUGGCGUAAUGGUUGUAAGCGGCCCGUCUUGAAACACGGACCAAGGAGUCUAACAUCUAUGCGAGUGUUUGGGUGUCAAACCCAUACGCGUAAUGAAAGUGAACGGAGGUGAGAACCCUUAAGGGUGCAUCAUCGACCGAUCCUGAUGUCUUCGGAAGGAUUUGAGUAAGAGCAUAGCUGUUGGGACCCGAAAGAUGGUGAACUAUGCCUGAAUAGGGUGAAGCCAGAGGAAACUCUGGUGGAGGCUCGCAGCGGUUCUGACGUGCAAAUCGAUCGUCAAAUUUGGGUAUAGGGGCGAAAGACUAAUCGAACCAUCUAGUAGCUGGUUCCUGCCGAAG